CGGGGCGUAGUUCAGAUGGUAGAACGUUGGGCUGGGGGUCCAAAGGUCGCAGGUUCGAGCCCUGUCGCCCCGA
rnacentral:tRNA from 1 species